rnacentral:rRNA from 1 species
CCCUUAGAUGUUCUGGGCCGCACGCGCGCUACAUUGAUUCAUGCAACGAGUUUUGUCCUUGGCUGAAAGGCCUGGGUAAUCUUUGAACGUGAAUCGUGCUGGGGAUAGAUGAUUGCAAUUCUUCAUCUUCAACGAGGAAUGCCUAGUAAACGCAAGUCAUCAGCUUGCAUUGAUUACGUCCCUGCCCUUUGUACACACCGCCCGUCGCUCCUACCGAUUUCGAGUGAUCCGGUGAACCUUUUGGACCGCUGGCACCUCGUGUGCUGCGCGGGAAAUCAAGUAAACCAUAUCACUUAGAGGAAGGAGAAGUCGUAACA